rnacentral:rRNA from 1 species
UCCACGCCGUAAACGAUGUCUACUAGUCGUUGGUCCCCUUGAGGGAUCAGUGACGCAGCUAACGCAUUAAGUAGACCGCCUGGGGAGUACGGUCGCAAGACUAAAACUCAAAGGAAUUGACGGGGGCCCGCACAAGCGGUGGAGCAUGUGGUUUAAUUCGAUGCAACGCGAAGAACCUUACCAUCCCUUGACAUCCAGAAAAUUCAGCAGAGAUGCAGAAGUGCCUUCGGGAA